UGUGACCUCAAAUCAGGUAGGACUACC
rnacentral:rRNA from 3 species